UAAGGCGAGGCUGAAAAGCGUAGUCGAUGGAAAACAGGUUAAUAUUCCUGUACUCGCUUGUCUAUACUUGCAAUGACGGAGAAGUGAAAGGGCCGCGUACUGACGGAAUAGUACGUUAAAGGGUGUAGAGCAAUCGAACCUGAUAGUACCACAAGCCUUCGGGUAAGUGGAUAGUGCCCCUAAUCAUGCUCCCAAGAAAAGUUGUAAGCUCUAGGGCAAGCGAACCGUACCCUAAACCGACACAGGUGGUCAAGGAGAGAAUCCUAAGGCGCUCGAGUGAAUCAUGGUUAAGGAACUAGGCAAAUUAGUCUCGUAACUUCGGGAUAAGAGACGCUCUUCGGAGCCGCAGUGAAUAGGCCCAGGCG
rnacentral:rRNA from 1 species